GGGGGGGGGGGGGGGGGGGGGGGGUGCGGGGGGGGCGGGCGGGGGGCGGGGGAGCUUGCUCCUCUGGCGUUAGCGGCGGCCGGGUGAGUGACCCGUGGAUAACCUACCUAUAAGGCUGGGAUCACUUGGGGCACCGGGCUCUAAUACGUGAUACUAUAUUGAACCUCAUUGUUCAAUCGUGAAAUCCGGCUUGGCUGUCCCUUCUACAUUGAUCCGACCCGCAUUAGCUAGUUGGUAAGGUAACGGCUUACUCAGGCAACGAUGCGUACCCUACCUGAGAGGGUGAUCGGCCACACUGGAACGGAGACACGGUCCCGACUCCUAGGGGAGGCAGCAGUAGGGAAUCUUCCGCAAUGGGCGAAAGCCUGACGGAGCAACGCCGCGUGAGUGAUGAAGGUCUUCGGAUCGUAAAACUCGGUUAUUAGGGAAGAACAAAUGUGUAAGUAACUAUGCACGUCUUGACGGUACCUAAUCAGAAAGCCACGGCUAACUACGUG
rnacentral:rRNA from 1 species